CCUACGGGGGGCAGCAGUGAGGAAUAUUGGUCAAUGGACGAGAGUCUGAACCAGCCAAGUAGCGUGAAGGAUGACUGCCCUAUGGGUUGUAAACUUCUUUUAUAUGGGAAUAAAAUGUUCCACGUGUGGGAUUUUGUAUGUACCAUAUGAAUAAGGAUCGGCUAACUCCGUGCCAGCAGCCGCGGUAAUACGGAGGAUCCGAGCGUUAUCCGGAUUUAUUGGGUUUAAAGGGAGCGUAGGUGGAUUGUUAAGUCAGUUGUGAAAGUUUGCGGCUCAACCGUAAAAUUGCCGUUGAAACUGGCAGUCUUGAGUACAGUAGAGGUGGGCGGAAUGCGUGGUGUAGCGGUGAAAUGCUUAGAUAUCACGAAGAACUCCGAUUGCGAAGGCAGUUCACUGGACUGCAACUGACACUGAGGCUCGAAAGUGUGGGUAUCAAACAGGAUUAGAUACCCCAGUAGUC
rnacentral:rRNA from 1 species